UUUUCGGGAUGGAACUUUAAAUAUAUCUUAGCGCGGACGGGUGAGUAACGCGUGAGCAACCUGCCUUUCACAAAGGGAUAGCCUCGGGAAACUGGGAUUAAUACCAUAUGAAACUUAACUUUCGCAUGAAAGAUAAGUUAAAGCGAAUAAGCGGUGAAAGAUGGGCUCGCGUCCUAUUAGCUAGUUGGUGAGGUAACGACUCACCAAGGCGACGAUAGGUAGCCGGCCUGAGAGGGUGAACGGCCACACUGGAACUGAGACACGGUCCAGACUCCUACGGGAGGCAGCAGUGGGGGAUAUUGCACAAUGGAGGAAACUCUGAUGCAGCGACGCCGCGUGAGUGAAGAAGGCCUUCGGGUCGUAAAGCUCUGUCCUAGGGGAAGAUAAUGACGGUACCCUAGGAGGAAGCCCCGGCUAACUACGUGCCAGCAGCCGCGGUAAUACGUAGGGGGCGAGCGUUGUCCGGAAUUACUGGGCGUAAAGAGUUCGUAGGCGGUCUGAUAAGUCAGAUGUGAAAGGCGUAGGCUUAACCUAUGUAAGCAUAUGAAACUGUCAGACUUGAGGUAAGGAGAGGAAAGUGGAAUUCCUAGUGUAGCGGUGAAAUGCGUAGAUAUUAGGAGGAAUACCAGUGGCGAAGGCGACUUUCUGGACUUAAACUGACGCUGAGGAACGAAAGCGUGGGGAGCAAACAGGAUUAGAUACCCUGGUAGUCCACGCCGUAAACGAUGAGUGCUAGGUGUCGGGUAGAAAUAUUCGGUGCCGCAGCUAACGCAAAUAAGCGACUCCGCCU
rnacentral:rRNA from 1 species